rnacentral:lncRNA from 1 species
UUUUGGUUGAAAACUAUAAGUUUACAAUAACAAUCGCUAUACUGGUUUGUGUCGCUCAAUCUUUGCUUUUCUAUGUUGUGUUUUGUAUACUGUUAUUUGUCUUGGACAUUUUCUUUUUUUUCUUUUUUCCAUGUCUUUUGUAGACGGUUUGUUUUCGACUUGUGAGUUUGAGUGUCCCUAAAGAAUCCCUUUUCUUUCUUUUUAAAAACCUACAUAUUGUUAAUUCCUUUGUACCACAAAAUGAAAUGUUAUUAAUUGGUUAUAUGUCUGUGAGAUAGUCAUCCAUGUUUCAGAAUACAAGCAAUGAACAACCCAUAAAAAGAAGGAUAAGAUUUUUUUUUAUUAAUU